CUUCAGUGAAAAGAGAUAUAGAGAGUGUUAGGUACUCUCCCUCAUCUAAAUCCUUUCUGGAAGAGCAUCCUCCAUCUGGUGCAUUCUCUGACCUUGAAGGGAGGGACUUGGAGACUGACAGUUUCAAGACACAGAAAACUCUCCAGAAAUGUGACUCCACAACAGACUCUAGACAACUUAAUAAACAAGACCAAAAGGACUAAAAGGAAUGCUAUUGAAUUUGACAUAUCAGAGAAACCAAAAUGAGUAGUGUCCCACCUCAUUUGAAGGGUCGAAUGAAGACUGAUGUAGCAAUUUAUUUGGGGGACCACGAUAAAGCAGGCAGCUAGCCCUGGCUUAAUGCCAUUUUCCGUAGGAGAAAGAGACCAAAAGGAGCCGUCUUCUGUCCACCCUUGGAGAGCUCUCAUUGCUGGAGAUGCUUCAGGACCCAAUCUGGCAGCCAGAGGUAGGACUUGGGACGGUUCCCCUUUCCGAAGCCCUCCUUUAAGGAUGAUUCCCAAAGAAGAUUCCAUGGAACUUAGUGAAGCAAGUAAAAUUCCAUCACAAUCAGUAUUUACAAAGGAUUCUGAGGAUGGCCCAUAGUCAUGCUGCUUUGUUAACCUUUCUUGGAAGAGUCAUUUCACUUCUUCACACACAUCUUCUCGUCUAUAAAAUGCUUAGAUGACCUCUAAAAUCCUUUCUAGUUAAUAUUCUGUUCAUUUUUACAAUCAGUUCUCUAGAAGGUAGUCUCGACAAUAAAUGCUUAGUUUGGUACCUGUCUGUGUAGUAAAUAAAAGUGCCUCUUUUUGUCCUGAUUGCACUGGAGAGCCAAUGGAGGGAGAAAAGCUAGGUUAAGUCCUUUUACUGUGAUUUUAACAUGUCCUCAAGCAGAUGUCCCCUCCAGUUUCCCUCUCCCCUUUCUACCUACAUUCCCUCAUGAUUUUAAAAAACCUAUUAAAAUAGCCAAAUGUGACUAAAAUGAAACAAUACCCCCAUAACAGAGGGGGGAGAGAAAUAAGGACUUAUUUCUCACAUGCCUACUAUAUGCCAAGCACUUUUUUUUUUAUAAAUACCUCAUUUAAUCCCCACAACAGUCCCAUUUUACAGUUGAGAUAACUGAGGUAGAGAAGACUCAAACUUGAUUUGAAUUGUAGUCAUCCUGACUCCAAGUUCUGUGUUCUAUCCACUGCACCACCAGCUUCCUUAGGAGCUAGGGGGACACUUGACUUGUUAUACCACCUACAUACUUAGCUCUUUGGAAUUGAAGUUUUUUUUGGGGGGGGGGGGUUUCUUCUGCUAAUUCUCUUAAGGAAGGGUUUAGCUAUAGUUCAACCUAUGGCUUUAGAUUUUGCAAAUGUAAUUUCAAAUCAGGAAAUAUGUCUCUAAUGUAUACCCAUACUUGCUUAUCAAAUGGUAGGGUUAAGUAGUUGGAACCUUUCAUAAUUAUAGAAUUAACAACAUAAUUUGUAGGUUUUGUUAUUUUUUUAAAACCCUUACCUUCUGUCUUAGAAUCAAUACUGUGUAUUGGUUCAAAGGCAGAAGAGUGGUAAGGGCUAGGCAAUGGGGGUUAAGUGACUUGCCCACAGUCACACAGAUAGGAAGUGCCUGAGGUGAAAUUUGAACCUAGGAUGUCUCCAGGCCUGAUUCUCAAUCCCCUGAGCUACCCAGCUGCCCCCUUGUUAUUUUCUUAAACUAGAUUUUACUGGUACCAAGAAUGUCCAUAAUGCUUUGUUUCCUAGACUUCUUCAGUGGCUGGUUUAUUCUCUAAAGCAUCUGUUUUUUACCAACAAACAAUAAAUUGUUUUUGGAUAGCAUUUGUUUCUAGACCAUCCAUUUCUCCUUGACCACUUCCUCCAAGGUGAAUCCUAUCUUGUAAUAAAGAAAAACACUUAACAAAUA